rnacentral:rRNA from 1 species
UGCAGCAUACACAUGCAGUCGUAUCAAGUGUAACCCAGAGCUUGCUCUGAUGAAGUUAGCGGCGGAGGGGGGAGUAACACGUGGGUAACCUGCCCAUAAGACUGGGAUAACUCCGGGAAACCGGGGCUAAUACCGGAUAACAUUUUGAACCGCAUGGUUCGAAAUUGAAAGGCGGCUUCGGCUGUCACUUAUGGAUGGACCCGCGUCGCAUUAGCUAGUUGGUGAGGUAACGGCUCACCAAGGCAACGAUGCGUAGCCGACCUGAGAGGGUGAUCGGCCACACUGGGACUGAGACACGGCCCAGACUCCUACGGGAGGCAGCAGUAGGGAAUCUUCCGCAAUGGACGAAAGUCUGACGGAGCAACGCCGCGUGAGUGAUGAAGGCUUUCGGGUCGUAAAACUCUGUUGUUAGGGAAGAACAAGUGCUAGUUGGAUAAGCUGGCACCUUGACGGUACCUAACCAGAAAGCCACGGCUAACUACGUGCCAGCAGCCGCGGUAAUACGUAGGUGGCAAGCGUUAUCCGGAAUUAUUGGGCGUAAAGCGCGCGCACGUGGUUUCUUAAGUCUGAUGUGAAAGCCCACGGCUCACCCCUGGAGGGAGUUGUAAACUCGGAGACUUGAGUGCAAAAGAGGAAAGUGCCACUCCCUGUGUGCCUCGACAUUCGCGAGAGAAGAGGAGGACCACUGACGAAGU